AAGCACACAGCCCUCACAUUUGGCCACAGGAACUUUUAUCUUGCCAUUGUGAUGGCGAUCUAAAAUGUCCCCCAAAUGUCUUAUGUGUUUGGAAGGUGAAUGAAUCAUGAGGAUGCUAUAGCUGACAUGCUAUUGAGAGGUGGAAACUGGCUGGAGGCAAGUCACCAGGUCCAGCCCACUCUGGGGAAGAGAAAACAUACAGGUGUGAAGAGCAGGAGGUGAGAAACAACCCGCCUGUCUUAGAAACCUGGCUGCCAUGGAGACAAGAAUGAACCAGACUCAGAGUGGUCAGGAGACGAUCACUUGCAGGGAGCGUGAAGGACACUCUUUGCGGCAGUGUGAGGGGUGGACGCAUAGCUCUAAGAGACUUCUA